rnacentral:rRNA from 1 species
UACAGAGACUGCGAGCGUUAUUCGGAUUUACUGGGCGUAAAGGGCGCGUAGGCGGCCUCCGCAAGUCAGUUGUGAAAUCUCCGAGCUUAACUCGGAAAGGUCAACUGAUACUGCGGGGCUAGAGUGCGGAAGGGGCAACUGGAAUUCUUGGUGUAGCGGUGAAAUGCGUAGAUAUCAAGAGGAACACCUGCGGCGAAGGCGGGUUGCUGGGCCGACACUGACGCUGAGGCGCGAAAGCUAGGGGAGCGAACGGG